rnacentral:rRNA from 1 species
UCCUACCGGUGGCAGCAGUGGGGAAUCUUCCACAAUGGACGAAAGUCUGAUGUAGCACAGCCGCGUGAGGACUAUAAGGUACUGGGUGGUAGAGCUAUGUAUGAGGGAAGAACAAGUACGGGAGUAACCGCGCGUACAAUGACGGUACCUCAAGAAAAGCAACGCUAUACCG